AACAUUAACCAUCUCAACUGGCUUUGAAAUAUACAAAAAUAACCACUUGCUAACCAUAUCCGGUGGAGAUAAUGGACACAGGGAUGAAAAAAAAAGGAGAGCCUUAAAGGCUUUGAAGGAGUUUGAGAGUUUCAUCAGUAUGCUUCUGAGGUUGGAACUGGUUGUUGAAUCUGUCUGCCAGGCAAUGUCCCAAACAGAUCUGAUGGCACUCCCCAUUUCCUCACCUUAUUACCCUGCUCGCUGAGUAAUGUGGACGGAAGUUUGUAUUUCUUUGCAAAAGCCCACAUAAAUUUAAAACUUCAUAAUCAACUUCAAGCACGAUUUGCAAUCAACUCACCCAAGGCUGAAUCUGAUGAUGUCCUCCAACAAACCAAGCAAAUUUACCGAUGUACUUCAAGCUUUGCCAUACUAGAAA
rnacentral:lncRNA from 1 species